rnacentral:misc_RNA from 1 species
UUUCCGUAGGUGAAUCUGCGGAAGGAUCAUUAAAAAAUGUGGUACCAAUUAUUGGUACUAAUUAAUCAUCCUACCCUUUGUGAAUUUGUUUGUAUGAAUUUUUUUAAAUGGUCUUUCCCUAAGUUGGAUUGUAGUAAAAUACAAAAAGACUUAGGGGAAUGACUUUUUUAAAAGACUUUUUUUUAAUUAAACUUUUUGUAUUCAUUUGUCUAAAAUUUAUUUUUAUAAUAUAAAAACAACUUUUGACAAUGGAUCUCUUGGUUCUCGCAACGAUGAAGAACGCAGCAAAAUGCGAUAAGUAGUGUGAAUUGCAGAAUACGUGAAUCAUCGAAUCUUCGAACGCAUAUUGCACUUUUUUAGUUUACUAAAAAAGUAUGUCUGUUUGAGUAUCAGUAAAAUAUUCUCACAAACAUUAUUGUUUGUGGUAAUGAGUGUUUUACGACGAUAAACAAGUUGUUUCACUUUAAAUUCUUUUUGUAAGCUUUAUACCAAUUACAAAUUAAAAUUGGAUAAAAUUUUCCUUUAACGAGGAAUAACCUAAACAAUUUUAAAUUUUUGGUUUGUAAAAUCCUUAAAGGAAUCUAUACAUAAAUAACUUGACCUCAAAUCAGAUAAGAGUACCCGCUGAACUUAAGCAUAUCAAUAGCGGAGGAAAAGAAACUAACAAGGAUUCCCUUAGUAACGGCGAGUGAAGCGGGAAGAGCUCAAAUUUGAAAUCUUCAAGGUUUGACCUUGACGAAUUGUAGUUUAUAGAAGUGUUUUCUGUUGGAGUUUUGGUAAAAGUUCUUUGGAAUAGGACAUCAUAGAGGGUGAGAAUCCCGUAUUUGACCAUGACUUUCCAGCUGUGUGAUACACUUUCAAAGAGUCGGAUUGUUUGGAAUGCAGUCCAAAAUGGGUGGUAAAUUUCAUCUAAAGCUAAAUAUUGGCGAGAGACCGAUAGCGAACAAGUACCGUGAGGGAAAGAUGAAAAGAACUUUGAAAAGAGAGUUAAACAGUACGUGAAAUUGUCAAAAGGGAAGCGUUUGACACCAGUGUUGUUUUCUCGAAAAUCAAUUUAAUGAGUUCUUGUUUUUAAGUUAUUGUGACUUUAUCAGCGCAUUUCUUAUUUUACUUGACUCAUUGAAUGCACUUUUCGUUUAACAAGUCAACAUCAAUUUCUUUGGUGGUAAAAAGUUUAAAGGAAGGUGGCUUGGACUUCGGUUCAAGUGUUUAUAGCCUUUUUUCUAUGCCAUCGGAGAGAUUGAGGUCUGCAGCGUAGAUCCUUCGGGGUUAGAUACCUUUGUGCUAAGUUAUAGUUUUUUAUAGACAACUUGUUGACUAUAAUUAACCCUGUAAUUUACUCGCUUAGGCUAUUU